CUCGUCCCUCUCCUGCCCGUUCUCCCACUCCCAACGCACCACGGCAGUCUCGCGCACUCAAGUCUGUGUGCUCGCCGCUACGUCAUCCACCAAGGGAAAGAUGCGAUUCCAUUCUCGGACGAACUGGUAAGGAGAGGACACAGAUCCACGUGGUUCUAUGCCCCAGGAGUACCACAGACAAUAUGGAGACACAAAGAGAUGUCAAGGGAGGGGUGGAGCAAUGUACUGAAGAAUAGGCAUCCUCUUCCUUCUCCAGCAACCCAAGCAUAUACUUUUCAGGGUCAGGUGGAAUGGUGGUCUAUGUGAAGUUAAUUUUCCCUCCCAGGUCACGAUAGGGGCAAACAGUUUCUAGAUUGCAAAGACCAAAGCAGACAGGUCCCAGUUUUACUGGGCCAAGAAAUCAUGAAUGAGCACUCGUUAUGACAGACUGUUGAAAUUGGUAGAAGUUUAGACACAAAUUGCAAUUUGCCUCUUGUGUUCUUCCCUGUAAUCUAAUCCUCUGGAAAAUAAA